AAUUUCGCAGCUGAUUAUGGUUCCUACACUAUACUUCAGUAUAGAUUAAGUGAAAAGGGAAGUUGGUUAAACUCCAACGCUGUACCCGCAACUGUACGCUUUGUCGAUUUUGUUCGAUGGUUGUUAUUACUCUUUAACCACUGUUCUUUAAGAAUGGGAAGGUAAAUAACAAUACGCAAGCCAGGAGACCUGCCAAAAUCUUUAUAGUUCA
rnacentral:ncRNA from 2 species